rnacentral:rRNA from 1 species
GCACAAGCAGUGGAGUAUGUGGUUUAAUUCGAAGCACGCGAAGAACCUUACCAGGUCUUGACAUCCGACUAACGAAGUAGAGAUACAUUAGGUGCCCUUCGGGGAAAGUCGAGACAGGUGGUGCAUGGUUGUCGUCAGCUCGUGUCGUGAGAUGUUGGGUUAAGUCCCGCAACGAGCGCAACCCUUGUCCUUAGUUGCUACGCAAGAGCACUCUAAGGAGACUGCCGUUGACAAAA